rfam:Pelodiscus sinensis unplaced genomic scaffold scaffold222, whole genome shotgun sequence.
GGGGGUGUAGCUCAGUGGUAGAGUGUCUGAUUGCAGGUCGAGUGGUCCUUGAUUCAAACCCAAGUGCCCCCU